rnacentral:rRNA from 1 species
GACGAACGCUGGCGGCGUGCUUAACACAUGCAAGUCGAACGGAAAGGCCCUGCUUUUGUGGGGUGCUCGAGUGGCGAACGGGUGAGUAACACGUGAGUAACCUGCCCUUGACUUUGGGAUAACUUCAGGAAACUGGGGCUAAUACCGGAUAGGAGCUCCUGCUGCAUGGUGGGGGUUGGAAAGUUUCGGCGGUUGGGGCUGGACUCGCGGCUUAUCAGCUUGUUGGUGGGGUAGUGGCUUACCAAGGCUUUGACGGGUAGCCGGCCUGAGAGGGUGACCGGCCACAUUGGGACUGAGAGACGGCCCAGACUCCUACGGGAGGCAGAAGUGGGGAAUAUUGCACAAUGGGCGGAAGCCUGAUGCAGCAACGCCGCGUGCGGGAUGACGGCCUUCGGGUUGUAAACCGCUUUCGCCUGUGACGAAGCGUGAGUGACGGUAAUGGGUAAAGAAGCACCGGCUAACUACGUG